rnacentral:rRNA from 1 species
UACGAAGGGGGCUAGCGUUGCUCGGAAUCACUGGGCGUAAAGGGUGCGUAGGCGGUCUUUAAGUCAGGGGUGAAAUCCUGGAGCUCAACUCCAGAACUGCCUUUGAUACUGAGGAUCUUGAGUUCGGGAGAGGUGAGUGGAACUGCGAGUGUAGAGGUGAAAUUCGUAGAUAUUCGCAAGAACACCAGUGGCGAAGGCGGCUCACUGGCCCGAUACUGACGCUGAGGCACGAAAGCGUGGGGAGCAAACAGG